GACGAACGCUGGCGGCGUGCUUAACACAUGCAAGUCGAACGGAAAGGCCCUGCUUUUGUGGGGUGCUCGAGUGGCGAACGGGUGAGUAACACGUGAGUAACCUGCCCGUGACUUUGGGAUAACUUCAGGAAACUGUGGCUAAUACCGGAUAGGAGCUCCUGCUGCAUGGUGGGGGUUGGAAAGUUUCGGCGGUUGGUGAUGGUCUCGCGGCUUAUCAGCUUGUUGGUGGGGUAGUGGCUUACCAAGGCUUUGACGGGUAGCCGGCCUGAGAGGGUGACCGGCCACAUUGGGACUGAGAUACGGCCCAGACUCCUACGGGAGGCAGCAGUGGGGAAUAUUGCACAAUGGGCGGAAGCCUGAUGCAGCAACGCCGCGUGCGGGAUGACGGCCUUCGGGUUGUAAACCGCUUUCGCCUGUGACGAAGCGUGAGUGACGGUAAUGGGUAAAGAAGCACCGGCUAACUACGUG
rnacentral:rRNA from 1 species